GCGCGCGUCUUUCUCUCCCGCAGCAUCAGCACCACCAUCAUCAUCAUCAUCAUCUCCCGCGCUCGUCAUGGAAACCCGUCUUCCUCAUUCAGUGAUGUGAUGCGCGCUCGCGGUUUCUCAUCAUCAUUAUCAGUAUCGGCGGCGGCGGAUUGACACUAUAGCGGAUUCUCUCCGCUCUUCUCUAGAGGAUGUACCGUGUUACCGGAGGUAUACGGCGGAGAGUCUUACCGGGGGCCCUUCCGUGAGAAACGAGCGAGGACGGAGAGGACACAGAGGCGGAUUGUUUUAUAUUUGGUGCCUCGGAUCUGUGCGAAUGACACACAGCACCGGGUGGAUUCAGCUGUAUGUUUGGUGCGAGCGGGACUCCAAGAUGAGCACGUAGAGCCGGUCAGAGGU
ensembl:processed_transcript